rnacentral:rRNA from 1 species
GACGAACGCUGGCGGCGUGCCUAAUACAUGCAAGUCGAACGCUUUUUCUUUCACCGGAGCUUGCUCCACCGAAAGAAAAAGAGUGGCGAACGGGUGAGUAACACGUGGGUAACCUGCCCAUCAGAAGGGGAUAACACUUGGAAACAGGUGCUAAUACCGUAUAACACUAUUUCCGCAUGGAAGAAAGUUGAAAGGCGCUUUUGCGUCACUGAUGGAUGGACCCGGGGUGCAUUAGCUAGUUGGUGAGGUAACGGCUCACCAAGGCAACGAUGCAUAGCCGACCUGAGAGGGUGAUCGGCCACACUGGGACUGAGACACGGCCCAGACUCCUACGGGAGGCAGCAGUAGGGAAUCUUCGGCAAUGGACGAAAGUCUGACCGAGCAACGCCGCGUGAGUGAAGAAGGUUUUCGGAUCGUAAAACUCUGUUGUUAGAGAAGAACAAGGAUGAGAGUAAAACGUUCAUCCCUUGACGGUAUCUAACCAGAAAGCCACAGCUAACUACGUGCCAGCAGCCGCCGUAA